rnacentral:misc_RNA from 1 species
AACGCACCUUGCGCCCCAUGGUAUUCCAUGGAGCAUGCCUGUUUGAGUGUCACGUGAAACUAUCACUCUUGUCCUGUCGCAAGACAUGUCAGGAUGUGGACUUGGACUGUGCCGUAGUUGGCUCGUCUUGAAAUGCAUUAGCCGUGCUGGUUAGAUUCGGCCACCUGGUGUGAUAUACGUCUACGCCUACUGUGCUGUCUCUUCCUGAGCGUGGCUCAUAAUCGUCGCUUGUUCGACAACACAAAUUAACGCUCUGGCCUCAAAUCAGGUAGGACUACCCGCUGAACUUAA